rnacentral:rRNA from 1 species
UACAGAGGUCUCAAGCGUUGUUCGGAUUCAUUGGGCGUAAAGGGUGCGUAGGCGGCGCGGUAAGUCGGGUGUGAAAUCUCGGAGCUUAACUUCGAAACUGCAUUCGAUACUGCCGUGCUUGAGGACUGGAGAGGAGACUGGAAUUUACGGUGUAGCGGUGAAAUGCGUAGAUAUCGUAAGGAAGACCAGUGGCGAAGGCGGGUCUCUGGGCCGAAAUUGACGCUGAGGAGCGAAAGCGUGGGGAGCGAACAGG